CACGUACUGUGCGAACGUUAUUCGGAAUCACUGGGCUUAAAGGGUGCGUAGGCGGCGAUUCAAGUCAGGUGUGAAAUGCCUGAGCUCAACUGAGGCAUGGCGCUUGAAACUGAAUUGCUCGAGUAUCCCAGGGGUGUGCGGAACUGCCAGUGGAGCGGUGAAAUGUGUUGAUAUUGGCAGGAACACCGGAGGCGAAAGCGGCACACUGGGGGAUAACUGACGCUGAGGCACGAAAGCCAGGGGAGCGAACGGG
rnacentral:rRNA from 1 species